ensembl:lncRNA
GUGUGUGUAGAAGUGGAAUAAAGGGUGUGUAAAACCGGAGUAAAGGGUGAGUAAACCUGGAGUAAAGGGUGAGUAAAACCUGGAGUAAGGUGUGCCUAAACCCAGAGUAAAGGUUGAGUAAACCUGGAGUAAAGGGUGAGUAAAAUCCGGAGUAAAGGGUGAGUAAACCCGGAGUAAAGGCUGAGUAAAACCCGGAGUGAGGUGCAUCCAAACCAAGAGUAAAGUGUGUGUAAACCUGGAAUAAAGGGUGUGUAAAACCUGAGUAGAGGUUGAGCAAACCUGGAGUAAAGGCUGAGUAAAACCCAGAGUAAAGUGUGCCUAAACCCAGAGUAAAGGCUGAGUAAACCUGGAGUAAAGGCUGAGUAAAACCCGGAGUAAAGGGUGAGUAAAAUCCGGAGUGAGAUGUGAGUAAACCCAGUGUACAGUGUGUGUAAAGCUGGAAUAAAGGGUGUGUAAAAGCUGAGUAAAGGGUGAGUAAACCUGCAGUAAAGGCUGAGUAAAACCCGGAGUGAGGUGUGCCUAAACCCAGAGUAAAGGCUGAGUAAACCUGGAGUAAAGGGUGAGUAAAACCCAGAGUAAAGUGUGAGUAAACCCGGAGUAAAGGGUGAGUAAAAUCCAGAGUGAGGUGCGAUUAAACCCAGAGUAAAGGUUGAGUAAACCUGGAGUAAAGGGUGAGUAAAAUCCGGAGUAAA